AAGCACAGUGCUGGGCCCACGUACUGAUACCAGAAGGAGCGGGGCUGAAGAUUUCUACUGUCUGUCCCUGGAAAUCCUUACCUAGAUGAGUAAAGGUCAUUGGCAUUAACUAAUACUGCUUCUUACCUCCUAACUUUCAACAGGUUCCUCUGAUACUGCACCUUGAGCUCUGACAGCAGGAAUGACUGUGGCACCAAAUCUCCCAGCAGUGCUCUGAAGUACACACGCCGUGCACAGAAAAAGAUCCUGGCAACUACAUCCACCACGGGCUUACAGUAAGAUAUGCCCUCCUCUAAUGUGCCUCACAUAGUGUGAGCAUCCUUUGUAUUGAGUGUGUUUGGGUACUAAGGGACAGUAUCAGGAGCUCAGAGGUUCUGUAGAUACAUAGGUAGAUGGUUUCUACCAUAACACAGGAGAUGGUAACAAAUCCUGCAGUAGGUACCUGCUCUGAUUGCAGUAACAUUGCUGCCAGCAUCAGUACUACUGCACACGAUCUUUUGGGAAUGAGCCUCUCCCUUAAAAAUUAAGAGACCACAUCCUAUGCCUGCUGAAGUUCACAGUGAUGUGAUCUCAUUCCAGCAUGCAGUGAAGUCCCUCUUAGAGCAGCCAGCCCUGGGAGAGCGGAGGCCAGACCGGUACCUGAGCAGUACUGGCGCAGCAGUGCUCCUGCAGGCAGCCACACCAAAACACCACCUCAUGAGUGCGUGCAGGGCUUGCACUGGGCUGAGGAAUGGCACCACAUGUGCAGCUAGGCAAGGCCUGAUGAGAGCAGCAUCUCAUUACAAGCUUUCCGUUCUGAGUCAUCUAUUAUUUUCCAGAAGAUUCCUACAUGGUGUGAUCCAACUGGGGUCACCGUUUGCAUUGGAAAGAUGGGUUGCUGCCAUCCUUGUUCUGCCGGAGCACUGCUCCGGCCAUGUGAAAAGCAAAGGGGAGUUCCGAGGAGAUGUUUAGUCACAGCUUCAUUGCUCUCUGCAGUUGAGUUUGAUGGCUCCCAAAAAGUGACUCCUCCCUUAACGAGUCCCAGGGGAUCCAGUUGUGUACUUUUUCAAGAUCUGUGAUGCACAUAUGUAUCUCUCUGGCAUUCUCCCAAAUCUUUUCAAAGAUAAAACGUGAGAUGAACAUCUGGUUCGCGCUAUUACAAUCUUUAUUAAACACUAAUUUCUUCUCCAGAAUAGCACCAUCUGCCACAGCUCCAGUCCCUGUUUUCUAACAUGGCUUUUCCUUUGGAAGUACACAAUGAAAUAAAUCCUUAACUGUUUUAGUCCCCAGAACUUCUUGAGAUGAAAAGCACAGUGACAGUAGCAGGCUGCAGGAGUUUAUUUGCUUCAAAAUCCUACAUUAUUAUUUAACAUGCUAAGAAUCCUUAUUAUCAAGGAUACCAGUUCCGCUUCACAUUCAGAAGAGUUCACUCAAGCACUUUGAUAAAUGCAUUGCUGAGGGCUUUGAUCCUUUUUCAGCAGCUUAGAGCGCUGUGUCUUCAAGCCCCGAUAGUCACGGCGUGGAUUUUGCAGAAUAUCCUUUGCUUCUCAUAAAAAUUUUUGGAAAAGAGAGCUUGUUAUACAUGUAUAAAAGGACAGUUUCAUUUUCAACAGUUAAUUCCACGUCUUUACGGUCCCCAUUCUUUAGCCCAGGAGUACUCGAAGGCCUGGAGAGAUGGCACCUCUGAGAUCCCUGCUCAGUUCUUCACAGGGAACGCAGUCUCCAGCAUUCCUUGUGAGCAGGGCACAGUCCCAAGUCACCCAUUUCUCUCCCGUGAUAUUUGGAGAUUCGCCUCUCUCUUUUCAGGAGCUCGAGAGUAUAAAAGGAUUAUGGUCUCCUGGACUCUCAGGUCCAUGACUAAAACAAAUCUAAAUAAACUUUAUUAAGAGAC
ensembl:lncRNA